AUGGAGUUUCUGGGAGGAUCAUUGCGCGUGACGAGAAGCAUUGGCAGCCGGAAGGGGAUGAGCCACGGCGAGUUGGGGUCGUGGCUGCAGGCGCCGGCGCCCGUGAGGCAGCUCUUCUGGAGGGUGAGGCGCGCCGUGUUGCGGCCGAAGCGCCAUGCCGUGAGUUUUGGGUAUGAUCUCAAGAGCUACUCCCAGAACUUCGACGAUGGCCUCGUCCCUGCCCACCGCCUCUAG
rnacentral:rRNA from 1 species